GCAACCCCAGGAUGGGC
rnacentral:rRNA from 1 species